ACGGGUGAGUAACACGUGAGCAACCUACCCUUGACACUGGGAUAACAGUUGGAAACAGCUGCUAAUACCGGAUACGACCCUGGCAGGCAUCUGCCGGGGUGGAAAGCUCCGACGGUCAAGGAUGGGCUCGCGGCCUAUCAGCUUGUUGGUGAGGUAACGGCUCACCAAGGCGACGACGGGUAGCCGGCCUGAGAGGGCGACCGGCCACACUGGGACUGAGAUACGGCCCAGACUCCUACGGGAGGCAGCAGUGGGGAAUAUUGCGCAAUGGGCGAAAGCCUGACGCAGCAACGCCGCGUGCGGGAUGAAGGCCUUCGGGUUGUAAACCGCUUUCAGCAGGGACGAAGGAUUUCUGACGGUACCUGCAGAAGAAGCACCGGCUAACUACGUGCCAGCAGCCGCGGUGAUACGUAGGGUGCGAGCGUUGUCCGGAAUUAUUGGGCGUAAAGAGCUUGUAGGCGGUCUGUUGCGUCGGAAGUGAAAACUCAGGGCUUAACCCUGAGCCUGCUUUCGAUACGGGCAGACUUGAGGGAUGUAGGGGAGAACGGAAUUCCUGGU
rnacentral:rRNA from 1 species